UGCCCAGUGAUGACACCAUCCUUGCUCCCAGUGCCUCCAGGAGCUGUGAGUGACACUAUGGCUGUCCAUGGGCCAGGCCAGGUGGGCCACUGCCCGGGGGCUGAGGGCA
ensembl:snoRNA